rnacentral:rRNA from 1 species
AGCGAACGCUGGCGGCAGGCCUAACACAUGCAAGUCGAACGAAGUCUUCGGACUUAGUGGCGGACGGGUGAGUAACACGUGGGAACGUGCCUUUAGGUUCGGAAUAACUCAGGGAAACUUGUGCUAAUACCGAAUGUGCCCUUCGGGGGAAAGAUUUAUCGCCUUUAGAGCGGCCCGCGUCUGAUUAGCUAGUUGGUGAGGUAAAGGCUCACCAAGGCGACGAUCAGUAGCUGGUCUGAGAGGAUGAUCAGCCACAUUGGGACUGAGACACGGCCCAAACUCCUGCGGGAGGCGGCAGUGGGGAAUCUUGCGCGAUGGGCGAAAGCCUGACGCAGCCAUGCCGCGUGAAUGAUGAAGGUCUUAGGAUUGUAAAAUUCUUUCACCGGGGACGAUAAUGACGGUACCCGGAGAAGAAGCCCCGGCUAACUUCGUGCCAGCAGCCGCCGUAA